UUUAAUCGCGUCAAACCGAAAGUGAAAUUAAAGCUGAGCGACCUGUAACAGCAGCUCGACUCCUGGUGAGUAAUACGAGGGAAAACGUGGACCAGUACUGUAGGUUCGUAGGAGCAGCAAUGAGAGACUGACUAAACAGACAGACAACACAGGAAAAAACACAACAACGGAAAUAAGGAUCAAUGGAAUGGCAAAAUCUGAUUGUCAAUCACCAAAAUAAAUAAAUAAAUAAACAAA